UUCGGGUAGGGAUUGAUGCGGCAUCCUUUUCGUAGCGUUUUUUAGAACGCUACGAAAAGAUAUAGCGGAAAGCCCGGUCUUAU
rnacentral:sRNA from 1 species